rnacentral:rRNA from 1 species
UACGUAGGGGGCGAGCGUUGUCCGGAUUUAUUGGGCGUAAAGAGCUCGUAGGCGGUUUGGCAAGUCGGGUGUGAAAACUCCGGGCUCAACUCGGAGACGCCACUCGAUACUGCUAUGACUCGAGUCCGGUAGGGGAGUGCGGAAUUCCUGGUGUAGCGGUGAAAUGCGCGGAUAUCAGGAGGAACACCGGUGGCGAAGGCGGCACUCUGGGCCGGUACUGACGCUGAGGAGCGAAAGCGUGGGGAGCGAACAGG